GAGAGGCAGUCCCUGCAGCAGGCUUGAGCCUCUCUCACUGACAGCCUGCCUCGCAUAAUGUUAAGCAGGCAUCGGACACUUGCUGGAAGGCAGGGAAUUGCAAUGAAAGAGCACGGAGGUGAGAAGCUGUGCUCCUUGGGGUGAAGGCAGCUUCUGUGCUCCUGGGAUCUACUGUUAAGCCAGGGUGACGCCAGCUUGCAUGCUACCGGAGGGAUCAACCUUCAGGCCUCCACUUAAGCGAGUUCUGACGUCAGUGAAUACUUCUGCAGCAUGGAAGUGCCAGGACCCUCGUUGGCCCCUGAUGGCCAAAUAGCCUCACUCUCCAUUAGAAGAGAAAGCCUCACUCUCCAUUAGAAGGCCAGGAGAGCGAAAUCAGGGAUUGCUUUCAAAACAAACAGUGUGGCAAUAAAGAAUUUCAGAAGAAAA
rnacentral:lncRNA from 1 species